CAUUGCAUGACGGGAAGUAGUUUAAAACAUGGCGUUGUGAGUUGUGUAUGUGUGUUUUGUUGCUAUAGUCUCGGCGCCAAUUUUGUCAGUGGCAAUGGCAGUGACGAACAGAGACUUGUUUGGGAUAAUGCGCGGCCGCUGCAAAGAGCCAUUUUGUGACUGUGAGCGCUUCAGUGUCCUCAUUUCGGCGAACCUUCGCUGUGACUACUGCGACGACAGCCCCGGAUCGCAUGGGAAAAUAGACGAACUUGAUGGCAUUGCCAGCUGAUGAGCUCCAAGUAACAGCACCUCACAUUUACAGCGCUCCUGACAAGAUAUGUAUUUUUGCUGGCAGCCAAGCCGAAGUCAUCACUGUCUCCACGUCUGAAAUACAACGGGCACUUAUUUUUUGCCUUUUGGCAUAUUAUGUUAAGAACCUAGAAUAUCCAUUUGCAUUUUACCAAAUGCUUGCUCUCGUGCAAAAAGAUUGUGCUGCCAGGAGACAAGCUAGUGACAGGACUGCUUUCUGCCCGUCUGAAACGUCUCUUUGCGCUCCUAAGCAGUAAAAAUGUAAUCUAGGGAGUAGUGCUGUUCGCGCUGCUUUCCGUGUUUUUCACCAACUCUGAAGUGAAAGAAAAAAAAACAACAUAGUUUGUGAUUUACUUCAAUGCGGUUGGUUAGCUCCAAAGGUGGGAGAGGCUUACACCAUAAGCAGCUGUUUUUUUCACGUCAUACAUUGUUUACUUCUAGUCACAAGCAGUGCAUUUACUUGCUCUAGUCAUUUGUUCCUCUCCCUUGUGGUGAAGGCUGGUUCAUUUUAUUUCAUUUGUGUAUUCAUAGGCCUCAGAAUUUCUUAUAAACAUAGCUUAAGCAUUUAACUCACCCACGUAGAUGGUUGUUUUGCAAAAUGUAAUGCACUCUAUUUGCCCUUUGCUCAAUGAGCAGAUCAGUAUAUAUCUCUGUGCCUGUGCAGAAAUCUAGUAUUGCAGUUAUUAAAUAGCAUCAAUUUUGAUGUUUGUCAUUUCACACAGUUGUGCUUCAAUGACUGUAUAUGGGAGGUCUCAUGGAUGGUAUUUUUGUAUCAGACCUUGUUGAACAAUAAACUUGUAAUAAAGAAUUUCGUACCUGA